UUGUGCAAGCAAGCAAAGAUGGCCAGAAAGGAAACUUUGUUGGUUUCUUUCACUUGCCUCCUUGUGGUGGCAUCCGUUGCCAUGUGUGCUAAGGCAACAGCAGCUCCUCGUCUGCUGGCAUCCGAGCAAGUGAAUUCUCCUCUAGGUUGUCGCUGCUGCUUCGUUGUCGGAGAGGCACCAAAUUUGCGCUGUGGACAUUCAUGCUGCAGUAACACUGCAGGAGAGAAUUGUUGCAUCCGAAAAUAACAAAACAAUGAGGUGUGUGGAUGUGGCAGCAUGUAUGUACAUGCUUACGUCGUCAUCUGUUGCAGACCAAAUAAAUUAUACUACACGCUGCAAAUAAUUGGAGGAACAUUCUGCAGGAUGCAGGAGUUCUUCACUCUUCUUCUAUCUUUCUGAAUGAAAGGCUCUUUCAUUUGUAAUUUUACCUUUUUGUAAUCCAAGAAUUUACCUGCGUACCA